AUGAACGCUGGCGGCGUGCCUCAUCCAUGCAAGUCGCGCGAACAGACGAGGAGCUUGCUCCUCUGACGUUAGCGGCGGACGGGUGAGUAACACGUGGAUAACCUACCUAUAAGACUGGGAUAACUUCGGGAAACCGGAGCUAAUACCGGAUAAUAUAUUGAACCGCAUGGUUCAAUAGUGAAAGACGGUUUUGCUGUCACUUAUAGAUGGAUCCGCGCCGCAUUAGCUAGUUGGUAAGGUAACGGCUUACCAAGGCGACGAUGCGUAGCCGACCUGAGAGGGUGAUCGGCCACACUGGAACUGAGACACGGUCCAGACUCCUACGGGAGGCAGCAGUAGGGAAUCUUCCGCAAUGGGCGAAAGCCUGACGGAGCAACGCCGCGUGAGUGAUGAAGGUCUUCGGAUCGUAAAACUCUGUUAUUAGGGAAGAACAAAUGUGUAAGUAACUAUGCACGUCUUGACGGUACCUAAUCAGAAAGCCACGGCUAACUACGUG
rnacentral:rRNA from 1 species